rnacentral:rRNA from 1 species
AGAGUCUAAUCCUGGCUCGGUUGGAAGGCUAGGAGCCGGUUUUAUACAUGACAAGCUUUUAGUUUUAAAUUUUUUAUUUAAAUGGCGUAUAGGUGAGUAAGAAAUAAGAACCUAAAAUACUGUUGGAGGAAUCUCAUAAAAAAUAAAUUUAUUUUAAAAGCAAAUGCGCAGUAUAAGGGCUUAUUUAGUAUUAUGGUAGUUGGUUAUGUUAAAAGCUAACCAAGCCUUAGAUGCUUAGCAGGCUUUAACGAGUGAUCUGCCACAACGGGCUUGAAAUAGUGCCUGAACAUUUAUGGCAGCAGUAAAGAAUCUUGGGCAAUGCAUUCAAGUGUGACCCAGCAAGUCUCCGUGGAUGAUGAAGAUAUUAAAUUAUAUUGUAAAAUUCUAUCUUUUUAUAUUUAUAAUGAAUUAUAAAAAGGAAAGCACAGGCUAAAUUCGUGCCAGCAGCCGCGGUAAUACGG